rnacentral:rRNA from 2 species
GCUUGCAUCAUGAUUUACAUUUGAGUGAGUGGCGAACUGGUGAGUAACACGUGGGAAACCUGCCCAGAAGCGGGGGAUAACACCUGGAAACAGAUGCUAAUACCGCAUAACAACUUGGACCGCAUGGUCCGAGUUUGAAAGAUGGCUUCGGCUAUCACUUUUGGAUGGUCCCGCGGCGUAUUAGCUAGAUGGUGAGGUAACGGCUCACCAUGGCAAUGAUACGUAGCCGACCUGAGAGGGUAAUCGGCCACAUUGGGACUGAGACACGGCCCAAACUCCUACGGGAGGCAGCAGUAGGGAAUCUUCCACAAUGGACGAAAGUCUGAUGGAGCAACGCCGCGUGAGUGAAGAAGGGUUUCGGCUCGUAAAACUCUGUUGUUAAAGAAGAACAUAUCUGAGAGUAACUGUUCAGGUAUUGACGGUAUUUAACCAGAAAGCCACGGCUAACUACGUGCCAGCAGCCGCGGUAAUACGUAGGUGGCAAGCGUUGUCCGGAUUUAUUGGGCGUAAAGCGAGCGCAGGCGGUUUUUUAAGUCUGAUGUGAAAGCCUUCGGCUCAACCGAAGAAGUGCAUCGGAAACUGGGAAACUUGAGUGCAGAAGAGGACAGUGGAACUCCAUGUGUAGCGGUGAAAUGCGUAGAUAUAUGGAAGAACACCAGUGGCGAAAGGCGGCUGUCUGGUCUGUAACUGACGCUGAGGCUCGAAAAGUAUGGGUAGCAAACAGGAUUAGAUACCCUGGUAGUCCAUACCGUAAACGAUGAAUGCUAAGUGUUGGAGGGUUUCCGCCCUUCAGUGCUGCAGCUAACGCAUUAAGCAUUCCGCCUGGGGAGUACGGCCGCAAGGCUGAAACUCAAAGGAAUUGACGGGGGCCCGCACAAGCGGUGGAGCAUGUGGUUUAAUUCGAAGCUACGCGAAGAACCUUACCAGGUCUUGACAUACUAUGCAAAUCUAAGAGAUUAGACGUUCCCUUCGGGGACAUGGAUACAGGUGGUGCAUGGUUGUCGUCAGCUCGUGUCGUGAGAUGUUGGGUUAAGUCCCGCAACGAGCGCAACCCUUAUUAUCAGUUGCCAGCAUUAAGUUGGGCACUCUGGUGAGACUGCCGGUGACAAACCGGAGGAAGGUGGGGAUGACGUCAAAUCAUCAUGCCCCUUAUGACCUGGGCUACACACGUGCUACAAUGGAUGGUACAACGAGUUGCGAACUCGCGAGAGUAAGCUAAUCUCUUAAAGCCAUUCUCAGUUCGGAUUGUAGGCUGCAACUCGCCUACAUGAAGUCGGAAUCGCUAGUAAUCGCGGAUCAGCAUGCCGCGGUGAAUACGUUCCCGGGCCUUGUACACACCGCCCGUCACACCAUGAGAGUUUGUAACACCCAAAGUC